GACGUAGGAUCCGAGCGUUGUCCGGAGUUACUGGGCGUAAAGCGCGCGCAGGCGGACACGCGCAUCGGCGGUGAAAGCCCCCCGCUCAACGGGGGAGGGUCCGUCGAGAUGGCGUGUCUGGAGGCAGGGAGAGGCCAGUGGAAUUCCGGGUGUAGUGGUGAAAUGCGUAGAGAUCCGGAGGAACACCGGGUGGCGAAGGCGGCCUGCUGG
rnacentral:rRNA from 1 species